rnacentral:misc_RNA from 1 species
GGAAGGUAAUAAUUUCAUUAUAAUCUACUAGUUUCCUUUUUGUUGAUAACCAAUGAAAUUAAAAUACAUGAACACAACCUUCCUGGUUUUAUCCAAUGAGUGUUAGAAAGUGAAAAUGAUUGAAGCGUCAAUAUCUUAUGCCCUUGACUGUUUCUUAUUUUUCCUAUGAUGCUUCCCGUUCAUUUAGUAGAAUUAAAAAUUCAUUCAAAUUCAAGACUUAUCAGACCAUUAGCCCUCAUUUU